CCCUUAGAUGUUCUGGGCCGCACGCGCGCUACACUGACGGAGGCAGCGAGCAUGUCCUUCGCCGAGAGGUGUGGGGAAUCUUGCGAGUCUCCGUCGUGCUGGGGAUAGAUGGUUGCAAUUGUCGAUCUUGAACGAGGAAUUCCUAGUAAGCGCGAGUCAUCAGCUCGCGCUGAUUACGUCCCUGCCCUUUGUACACACCGCCCGUCGCUACUACCGAUUGGAUGGCUUAGCGAGAAUUUUGGAUCGGAGCCCGGGUGGUCGGCAACGGUCGCCCGGGAGAUCUGAGAAAUCAUUCCAGCUUGGUCAUCUAGAGGAAGUAAAAGUCGUAACA
rnacentral:rRNA from 1 species